AGAUUAUUUGAAGAACAAGGCCUAGGCGAUUUUGAUGAAAAUUGCUCUUUUUAUUAGCGAAGUUUAACGCACUGUUUUCCGUGUGUUGGACUGGGCUCUUGUUACAGCAGAUGUGCUUUUGUGAGUCCAAAGUUCCCCUGAGGACCACCACCCUUCCCUGAUAGCAGCUUGCCUCCCCCCACAUCAGUGUUCCUAUUCAUCUCUAAAUAAGCAGCUGCAAGGACAUGCAUUCCAGCUCCUCAGAUCCUGUUCCCCACCCAUCCGACACACUUUGCACGUGAAGAUCAAUGGAGCUAAGGGCAGCGUGUAAGGGGAUCCAGGGCCAAGGAGAAGAGCAGAUUUGUUUUAUUUGUUCUGUGGCGCAGCCCCGUUUGAUGUGACCCUCUCCUGUUUCAUUCAUCCGGAAAAUCUGCUGCGUGUGAGUGAAAACUGGGGGAGUGGGUCUCACUUGAUACUCUGGUUUAAUGAGGAAAUGCCAGUCAUGCUAAAGGGACAGUUCAUCCAAAAAAUGCAAAUUCAUCAUUUACUCACCCUCAUGUCAUUGCCAUUCGUUCUUUAUCUGUGGAACAUAAAAAAAGAUACAUGUAUUUUUAGCACAUGCAAAGGAAGUCAAUGACAACCCGAACUGUUUUGUUACCAGCAUUCUUCAGAAUAUCUAAAUAGUUUGUGUUCUGCAUAAUAACCCUUACGAAAAAAGAAGUUAAUUCAAGUGUGCUAUUAGUAUACUUCUUUUAAACUAAAAAUAGAAAAGUAUACUUUCAGUCUACUUUUUAUGUACUUCUCAGAAAUGUGCUUUAUAUACUUAUCAGAAAUAUACUUAAAAUGACAUUUAAGUAUACUUGACUUAGACUUAGAAAAAAUCUAAAUAUAUUUGAGCUGUACUUGUUCUCUGAGAAUCUGUGUUUUCAUUGUUAUACACGAGAGAUGCUAUUACACAUCUUCUGUACAGAAUUUCCAAAACACAAGUGAAGAAGAAACCAAAACAGAUGCUUUCACACUGUAAAAAAUGCAAAUACGUAUUUUCCAUUUUACAAAUCAUUUUGAGUCUCAAAUACUAAAAAAUGCUAUUUUCUUGAAACUAUAUAAAACCCUUGUCAGACCAACAGUAUUACCCCAAACGUUGACCCAACUAGUCAAACACAGUUGUCUGAGCAAAGAAUUUCAUAUUGCUGAAAUUUUAAGGCUUUGUAAGUUCCCAGCAUGCAUUGCAGCAUAAAUAAAUGAUCCAGUUACUGUUAUAGGAUUAUUGUUUUGUUGUUUGCUGACUUCAUUUAAACUUUUUUGUUGUUGUUUUGUCAUUAUUGUUAGUUAUUUGUUGUACUGUGACGUAAAGAGCUCAUCUUUUUAAUAUUUGCUAUUGCCACCGUUCUUGAGGUUUGUGUGUCUAGUUUUGAGGCCUAGAUUCUUUUCAAUCACUUACAUCCAUUUACAUCCACUUAUUUGUUAGUGGGUAAUCUUAAUCUUGUAAAAUGCUUUACAAACAAAGACAAUGUUAUUUACAUAUUAGACUAAGAUAUUCACAAUGCUUUGUAUGUUCAGAUAUUCAUAUAACAAGAUAUAUACAAAUUAAUACCUGAAUAGAGACAUAGUAGUAUACUUAAAGUAUGAUUUAAAGUUUACUUAAAAAAAAAACUUAUGAGUGUACUUGCAGUAUAAAACUGCUAAACUAGUAGUUUAAAGUAUUUAAUUAGUAAACUAUCAGCAUACCUAUUAGUUCACUUUUAGUAUACUUGCAGUACAACAGAUGUAAACUAGCUGUGUGCUCAAAGUUUACUACUGUUAUACUUAAAGUAUACUUAAAAGUAUACUUUUAUAUACUAGAAAGUGGCCCAAUUUAGUCCCAAUGAGUAUUAAAAUAGUACACUUAAAAAUAUACUACUAGUACACUGAUAUUUGUAUACUUACUACAUAAAGUAUACUUUAAAAGUAUACUUGAACUUUACUUAAGUAUACUUAAUAAAAUAAACGUGAAGUGUACUUCUUUUUGAUAAGGGAAAGAAAUUCUAGGUUUGCAACGACAUGAGGGUGAGUAAAUGAUGACAGAAUUUUUUUGGGUGAACUGUGCCUUUAAGAAAUAGCAGUUCACAGCAAAUCGCAGUCAUUGGAGAAGGAAAAGAUAGGAAAUGUUGGUAUAUGUGUGAUCUUAAUUUCAUAUAUGCAUAGACUUCAACUUUAUUAGUAAUUUUCCCUACUCCAACUCUAUGACACUUUUGAUUGUUUUUGCCCCUGACACAGCAACUUUGACUAUGUGACCUUGGGGCACGACUACCUGUUUCUGCUUUGUGAUGUUAAUUUUGCAUAAAUAGCACUGAAAUCUAACACUUUCAAAGUUUCUAUAGAAAUAAACAACUAAAUAAAACAGAGGAUGCAAAAAGAAAAUUAGUUUGGAGGUCCCUGAAAGCAUUGUAGUGCAUUGCUUGUUUAGACGUGACAGAGAUAUGACUGUAAUCCAGUCUUUUGUAAUUAACCUCCGGGCUUUCCUGUGCGCUUCUAAUUACUCCGCAUAAACAAUGUGGGAUCAGUGCUAAUAUGAAAGAGCCCAUUCAGAGGCUUUCAUGUGGGGUUUCUAACGGCCUCUGCAGGCGGGGGAGUGCCGGCUGAUCCGGAGGAGGUGGCGGGGGAGUUUAUA